UACGAAGGGAGCUAGCGUUACUCGGAAUCACUGGGCGUAAAGCGUAUGUAGGCGGAACUACAAGUCAGAGGUGAAAUCCCCAGGCUCAACCUGGGAAUUGCCUUUGAAACUGUAGUUCUUGAGUGUGGUAGAGGAUGGUGGAAUUUCCAGUGUAGAGGUGAAAUUCGUAGAUAUUGGAAAGAACACCGGUGGCGAAGGCGACCAUCUGGGCCAUUACUGACGCUGAGAUACGAAAGCGUGGGGAGCAAACGGGAUUAGAUACCCCGGUAGUCCACGCCGUAAACGAUGAGUGCUAGUCGUUAGGUUUUCCUAGUGACACAGUUAACACGUUAAGCACUCCGCCUGGGGAGUACGGUCGCAAGAUUAAA
rnacentral:rRNA from 1 species